CAGUAGCUUGGUGGUAGAGUAUCUGUCUUGCAUGCAGAAGGUUUCAGGUUCAAACCCUGGUAGGGAGG